UACGUAGGGUGCGAGCGUUUAAUCGGAAUUACUGGGCGUAAAGCGUGCGCAGGCGGCGCGUUUAAGACAGGUGUGAAAGCCCCGAGCUUAACUUGGGAAUUGCGCUUGUGACUGGCGAGCUGGAGUGUGGCAGAGGGAGGUGGAAUUCCACGUGUAGCAGUGAAAUGCGUAGAGAUGUGGAGGAACACCGAUGGCGAAGGCAGCCCCCCUGGGCUAACACUGACGCUCAUGCACGAAAGCGUGGGGAGCAAACAGG
rnacentral:rRNA from 1 species